rnacentral:rRNA from 1 species
CACUCCUGCGGGAGGCAGCAGUGGGGAAUUUUGGACAAUGGGCGAAAGCCUGAUCCAGCCAUGCCGCGUGCAGGAUGAAGGCCUUCGGGUUGUAAACUGCUUUUGUACGGAACGAAACGGCCUUUUCUAAUAAAGAGGGCUAAUGACGGUACCGUAAGAAUAAGCACCGGCUAACUACGUGCCAGCAGCCGCGGUAAUACGUAGGGUGCAAGCGUUAAUCGGAAUUACUGGGCGUAAAGCGUGCGCAGGCGGUUAUGUAAGACAGUUGUGAAAUCCCCGGGCUCAACCUGGGAACUGCAUCUGUGACUGCAUAGCUAGAGUACGGUAGAGGGGGAUGGAAUUCCGCGUGUAGCAGUGAAAUGCGUAGAUAUGCGGAGGAACACCGAUGGCGAAGGCAAUCCCCUGGACCUGUACUGACGCUCAUGCACGAAAGCGUGGGGAGCAAACAGGAUUAGAUACCCUGGUAGUCCCAUGAU